rnacentral:rRNA from 1 species
UACGUAGGGGGCAAGCGUUGUCCGGAAUUAUUGGGCGUAAAGCGCGCGCAGGCGGUCCUUUAAGUCUGAUGUGAAAGCCCACGGCUCAACCGUGGAGGGUCAUUGGAAACUGGGGGACUUGAGUGCAGGAGAGAAGAGUGGAAUUCCACGUGUAGCGGUGAAAUGCGCAGAUAUCAGGAGGAACACCGGUGGCGAAGGCGGGUCUCUGGGCCGAUACUGACGCUGAGGAGCGAAAGCGUGGGGAGCAAACAGG